rnacentral:misc_RNA from 1 species
UAUGGAAUUUUCAUCUCUAGGGAAUAUGGGGCAACUGAAAGUUCAAGAUGUGGGUGAAGGUGGUGUAAAGAUCAGGCUUUAUGAAGGGAGAAUAGCUCAGGGCUCGCUUAAAGGGACUCCAGUUGUUUUUAAGGUUUAUCCUGGGCAGCGAGCUGCUGGUGUUGAAGCUGAUAUGAUGGCAGCAAAUGAGCUUAAUACUCAUGCUGUACUUCAGAGUAGUUCAAAAGGUAUCUGUCAGAAUCUCCUGAUACUUGUAGGAGGAUUUGAGACCAAAACCGGGGAACAGUGGCUUGCUUUUCGUAAUGCUGGGG